rnacentral:rRNA from 1 species
CUUGACCUACGGGGGGCAGCAGUGGGGAAUAUUGCACAAUGGGGGAAACCCUGAUGCAGCGACGCCGCGUGAGUGAAGAAGUAUUUCGGUAUGUAAAGCUCUAUCAGCAGGGAAGAAAAUGACGGUACCUGACCAAGAAGCCCCGGCUAACUACGUGCCAGCAGCCGCGGUAAUACGUAGGGGGCAAGCGUUAUCCGGAUUUACUGGGUGUAAAGGGAGCGUAGAGGGCUGAGCAAGUCAGAAGUGAAAGCCCGGGG